UCAUCCUGGGAAGAGAUUCACUACUUACAAUGUAGGAGAUCUCGUUCUCCUCAAGGCUAACAACACGUUCCUCUUAAAAAGCUUAUGCUGUUCCAACUUAUGCUGCUGAAAAUUAGUUUUUUCCUAAUUUAUCCUUGCACAAGAUGUACAAAAGCACCCUGUACUGUGAAUGUAUGAUGGGUUGUCUGAAAACCAGGCGCUCCAUUUUGAUUAAAAUCCGAAACUCGAUGGAACCUUAUCGUUUGUCCAUGUGUGGUGUUCUUUUCUUUGUUCACUUGAUUCAUUUCAUCAUUUACGAAUCGGCAUCUUCUCGAGGUGAGGAAUCUUAACUAUUGAAGCUAUUUAAUCGAGCCUUUUAACGAGUUCAUUUGAUUAACUUGUUGUUAUAACGGUGAGAAUACCACUCUUGAGCUUGGUCGACGUUUUCAGUUAUUUGUCUUAUUUCCUCUUCUGGUCGAAGCUUUUUGUUCGCUAAAAUGAAUACUUGGACAGUGGUGAAAUUUCUGAGUGACCACUCAGUAGAAGCUGUUCCUACGAAAUGGAUUUCAUAGGACUACUGUUUAUGGCCAAAUUACACUAAAGAAAAAUUUAUUGUUCAAAGCAAUAAGGAUCUGUGAACCGGCUGUACCAUCAUGGGAGCGUCACAAAAUAAGUACUAUCAGGAAUGCAACCUAUGGCAAUGAACAUAAAUUGCAUUGGCUUGUUAUGUAUAAUAAUUUUCUAGGUGAUUACACCAUUGCUAGAAAAAAAUGUCGAAGAGCAGAGGUGACAUCUGAUCUUAAUCCAGAAAAUGAAAAAAGAAAAACCAAUGAGGCUGAUGUCCUUUUCAACGGACUCAGAUUCAGAUGAUAGUACAGUCUCUUUGAGUGACAAGGAUUCAUCUCUACCAGAAUAUCCUGAAAUAAAUUUGAAAAGGACAGCUGCAGAGUCAAUUAAUAUUGAAUUAGAAGAAAACAACAUAUCUUUCCCACUCAAGCAAUUUGGUUGUUAAUGUUGCCCGAACCAUCGGUAUGAUCCAUCUACAUCAGGACUCAUCCGGCAAAUAUUGAAAAAACUGUCACUGCUUGAGAUGGCAGUCAGUGAACUGAAAUGUAAGGUGGAAAUGAUGGGACAACCGGAAAAAAUUGAAUCCGAUGAAGACAUAUGGGGGGAAUUCUAUUUACCUUAAAUAAGUAACGAGAAAUUGUCGGAAUUCGAGAUUUUUCUCAAGGUAGAAGAUGAUAUGAAAAAACCCGUUAAAAAACUCUCCAAAGUGGGCGGUGAUACCCCCUAUGAAUUUUGUAGAAGGGCAAUGGCUACAUUAUUGUCAAAUGAAUUAUCUAGUGAAUACAGCUGGAUAGGCCUGAAGAAGGUUUUUUCAGAAACAUUGGCUGCAGAUCUUUUGAUGAGUAAGUGUAGUAAUAUACAUAUUAUGUUGUAGCAAUAAAUUGGGUAGGAGAUAUUUGUCUUAGUUAAGGAUGACACACCUCAACACUAACUUUUUCCAUGGCGAGAGACUCCUCUCUGUGGACUUCUGGCAGUUUGUCAGCGUAUCUCAGAGUUUGAGUUUCUCCAAAUACAA